GACGAACGCUGGCGGCGUGCUUAACACAUGCAAGUCGAACGGAAAGGCCCUGCUUUUGUGGGGUGCUCGAGUGGCGAACGGGUGAGUAACACGUGAGUAACCUGCCCUGUACUUUGGGAUAACUUCAGGAAACUGGGGCUAAUACCGGAUAGGAGCUCCUGCUGCAUGGUGGGGGUUGGAAAGUUUCGGCGGUUGGGGAUGGACUCGCGGCUUAUCAGCUUGUUGGUGGGGUAGUGGCUUACCAAGGCUUUGACGGGUAGCCGGCCUGAGAGGGUGACCGGCCACCUUGGGACUGAGAUACGGCCCAGACUCGUACGGGAGGCAGCAGUGGGGAAUAUUGCACAAUGGGCGGAAGCCUGAUGCAGCAACGCCGCGUGCGGGAUGAAGGCCUUCGGGUUGUAAACCGCUUUCGCCUGUGACGAAGCGUGAGUGACGGUAAUGGGUAAAGAAGCACCGGCUAACUACGUG
rnacentral:rRNA from 1 species